rnacentral:rRNA from 1 species
CGCGUAGGCGGCCUGGUAAGUCAGAUGUGAAAGCCCGGGGCUUAACCCCGGAAGUGCAUUUGAUACUGUCAGGCUUGAGUAUGGGAGAGGGAAGUGGAAUUCCUGGUGUAGAGGUGAAAUUCGUAGAUAUCAGGAGGAACACCGGUGGCGAAGGCGGCUUCCUGGACCAAUACUGACGCUGAGGCGCGAAGGCGUGGGGAGCAAACAGGAUUAGAUACCCUGGUAGUC